AAUCAACGUUGGCGGCGCGCUUAACACAUGCAAGUCGAACGAGAAAGGGGAGCAAUCCCUGAGUAAAGUGGCAUCCGGGUGAGUAACACGUGGAUAAUCUACCCUUUGGUGGGGAAUAACUUUGGGAAACCGAAGCUAAUACCGCAUGAGCUCGAGAGAGGAAAGCGGGGGGAUCGCAAGACCUCGCGCUGGAGGAGCGGCCGAUAUCCGAUUAGCUAGAUGGUGAGGUAAAGGCUUACCAUGGCGAUGAUCGGUAGCUGGGUCUGAGAGGAUGAUCAGCCACACUGGGACUGAGACACGGGUCCAGACUCCUACGGGAGGCAGCAGUGAGGAAUAUUGGACAAUGGAUGGAAAUCUGAUCCAGCCAUGCCGCGUGCAGGAAGACGGCCCUAUGGGUUGUAAACUGCUUUUGUAUGGGAGCAAUAAGGUCUAUGCGUAGACUGAUGAGAGUACCAUACGAAUAAGCAUCGGCUAA
rnacentral:rRNA from 1 species